rnacentral:rRNA from 1 species
CCCUUAGAUGGUCUGGGCGGCACGCGCGCUACAAUGAUGCAUUCAAAAAGUCUUCUGACCUUAGAAGGUUGGGUAUUCUCCAAAGUGCAUCGUGAUGGGAAUAGUUUAUUGCAAUUUUUAAUCUUGAACGAGGAAUUCCUAGUAAGUACAGGUCAUCAACUUGUGUUGAUUACGUCCCUGCCCUUUGUACACACCGCCCGUCGCUACUACCGAUUGAACGUUUUAGUGAGGCAUUUGGACCGACGCAUCUCAGUUUAACCGCUGGUUUGUGUUGGAAAGACUUCCAAACUUGAGCGUUUAGAGGAAGUAAAAGUCGUAACA